UCGGGAAUUUUGGGCAAUGGGCGAAAGCCUGACCCAGCAACGCCGCGUGAGGGAUGAAGUAUUUCGGUAUGUAAACCUCGAAAGAAUGGGAAGAAUAAAUGACGGUACCAUUUAUAAGCUCCGGCUAACUACGUGCCAGCAGCCGCGGUAAUACGUAGGGAGCAAGCGUUGUUCGGAUUUACUGGGCGUAAAGGGCGCGUAGGCGGCGCGGUAAGUCACUUGUGAAAUCUCUGAGCUUAACUCAGAACGGCCAAGUGAUACUGCUGUGCUAGAGUGCGGAAGAGGCAACCGGAAUUCUUGGUGUAGCGGGGAAAUGCAUAGAUAUCAAGAGGAACACCUGAGGCGAAGGCGGGUUGCUGGGCCGACACUGACGCUGAUGCGCGAAAGCCAGGGGAGCAA
rnacentral:rRNA from 1 species